rnacentral:rRNA from 1 species
AAAGUUCGAUCCUGGCUUAGGAUGAACGAUGGCAACAUGCUUAACACAUAUAAGUCGGAUGGAAAGUGGUGUUUCUAGUGGCAGACGGGUGAGUAACGCAUAAGAACCUGCCCUUGGGAGGAGAACAACGGCUUGAAACGGCUGCUAAUACCCCGUAGGCUGAGGAGCAAAAGGAGGAAUCCACUCGAUAAGGGGCUUGCGUCUGAUUAGCUAGUUGGUAAGGCAAUAGCUUACCAAGAUAAUGAUCAGUAGCUAGUCCGAGAGGAUGAUCAGACACUGGAACUGAGACACGUCCCAUACUCCUACGGGAGGCAGCAGUGAGGGAUUUUAUGCAAUGGGCGAAAUCUUGACAGAGCAAUGCCGCAUGGAGGUAGAAAGCCCACGGGUCGUGAACUUCUUUUCCCGGAGAAGAAGAAAUAACGGUAUCUAGGGAAUAAGUAUCGGCUAACUCUGUGUCAGCAGCAAUGGUAAGACAGAGGAUGUAAGCGUUAUCUGGAAUGAUUGGUCGUAAAGCGUCUAUCGGUGGCUUUUUAAGUCCGUCAUCUAAUCCCAAGGCUCAACCCUGGACAGGCGAUGGAAACUACGAAGCUGGAAUACGGUAGGGAUAGAGAGAAUUUCAGGUGGAGCGGUGAAAUGCGUAGAGAUCGAAAAGAAAACCAACUGCGAAAGCACUCUGCUAGGCCGACACUGACACUGAGAGACGAAAGCUAAGGGAGCGAAUGAGAUUAGAUAUCCCAGUAGUCCUAACCGUAAAUGAUGGAUACUAGGCGAUGUGCGUAUCGACCCGUGCAAUGCUGUAGCUAACGCGUUAAGUAUCCCACCUGAGGAGUACGUUCGCAAGAAUGAAACUCAAAGGAAUUGACGGGGGGCCACACAAGCGGUGGAGCAUUGGUUUAAUUCGAUGUAAAGCGAAGAACCUUACCAGGGCUUGACAUGUCGCGAAUCCUCUUGAAAGAGAGGGGUGCCUUCGGGAAUGCGAACACGGGUGGUGCAUGGCUGUCGUUAGCUCGUGCCGUAAGGUGUUAGGUUAAGUCUCGCAACGAGCGCAACCCUUGUGUUUAGUUGUCAUCGUUGAGUUCGGAACCCUGAAUGAAUUGUCGGUGAUAAGCCGGAGGAAGGUGAGGAACCCUUAUGCCCUGAGCGACGUACAUCAAGGUAUAACAAAUAAAGACAUAAGAUAAGUCUCUUUUGGAGACAUGUGGCUUCAUUUUGAUUUAAAGCAUUAUGGGGAUCGAUAUGAAUUAACACAAUUUUUUAUCACGUUUGGUGCUAAAUUCAUACUACAUACUACCACAUUGGUUGGAAGAUGGGGAUCCAUGUCGAUAAGGAAGUUAGCAUUUGUAGUUUUGGAGCGGUCUUACAUCGUUUAAAUGGUGUAACGACUUCUA